GAAACUGCGAAUGGCUCAUUAAAACAGUUAUCGUUUAUUUGAUGGUCAAAGUCUAUAAGGACAACUGUGGUAAUUCUAGAGCUAAUACUUGCAUAAAGCUUCGACUUUUCGGAAGAAGCGUAUUUAUUAGAUACAGAACCAAUGCCUUCGGGCUUUUUGGAGGAUUCAUAAUAAAUGAACGGAGCUAGCUUUUGCUGGCUAGAUCAUUCAAGUUUCUGACCUAUCAGCUUGACGGUAGGGUAUUGGCCUACCGUGGCAUUGACGGGUAACGGAGAAUUAGGGUUCGAUUCCGGAGAGGAGCCCGAGAAACGGCUACCACAUCUAUGGACGGCAGCAGGCGCGCAAAUUACCCAAUACCGAUACGGUGAGGUAGUGACAAGAAAUAACAAAGCGGUAUCUAUGAUAUUUGCUUAUUGGAAUGAGUAGAAUUUAAAUCCCUUUUCGACUAUCAAUUGGAGGGCAAGUCUGGUGCCAGCAGCCGCGGUAAUUCCAGCUCCAUUAGCGUAUAUUAAAGUUGUUGCGGUAAAAAAGCUCGUAGUUGGAUUUCUGUGAGAUUGGCCUGGUCCGCUCUAUGAGUGUGUAUUUGGGACUGAUUUGCAUCCUGGUCGAAAUCGUUACUGCGCUUCAGUGCGUGGUGCGAGUUCGGCCACUUUUACUUUGAGGAAAUUGGAGUGUUUACGGCAGACGCUUGUCUUGAACAUUUUAGCAUGGAAUAAUACCAUAGGAUCUCAUUCCUAUUUUGUUGGUUUCUAGGAACGAGAUAAUGAUUAAUAGGGACGACUGGGGGUACUUGUAUCAUGACGUCAGAGGUGAAAUUCUUGGAUUGUCAUGCGACAAACUGCUGCGAAAGCGUUUACCAAGGACGUUUUCAUUGAUCAAGAACGAAAGUAUGGGAUCGAAGAUGAUUAGAUACCGUCGUAGUCUAUACCAUAAACUAUGUCAACUCGGGAUAGGUAGUCGUUCUCUUUAUGACUCUAUCUGCACCGUAUGUGAUAACAAAGUUUUUGGAUUCCGGGGGGAGUAUAGUCGCAAGACAGAACUUAAAGGAAUUGACGGAAGGGCACCACCAGGAGUGGAGCCUGCGGCUUAAUUUGACUCAACACGGGAAAACUCACCAGGUCCAGACAUAGUGAGGAUUGACAGAUUGAUAGCUCUUCUUGAUUCUAUGGGUGGUGGUGCAUGGCCGUUCUUAGUUGGUGGAGUGAUUUGUCUGCUUAAUUGCGUUAACGAACGAGACCUCAACCUGCUAAAUAGAUCGUUCCAUCUUAGGAUGGAUCGCUAUCUUCUUAGAGGGACUGCUGGCAUGUAGUCAGUGGAAGUUGAGUCUAAAACAGGUCUGUAAUGCCCUUAGAUGUUCUGGGCUGCACGCGCGCUACACUGAUGCGUUCAACGAGUGUAUAACCUUCGUAGAAAUUCGUGGGUAAUCUUUUGAACACGCAUCGUGAUGGGGAUAGAUUAUUGCAAUUAUUAAUCUUCAACGAGGAAUUCCUAGUAAGCAUGAGUCAUCAGCUCAUGUUGAUUACGUCCCUGCCCU
rnacentral:rRNA from 1 species